CAUGUUUCUUUUAUUUAUUUUUUAUAUUUAUAAUUUUUGUUUUAUUGAAACAGUCUGUCAUCCAGGCUGGAGUGCAAUGGAGUGCAUGGUUCACUGCAGCCUUAGCCUCCCAGGCUCAAGUGAUCUUCCUGCCUCAGCUUCCUGAGUAGUUGGGACUAUGGGUGUGCACCACUAUGCCUGGCUAAUUAUUUAUUCGUUUAUUUUUGGUAGAGACAGAGUUUCACUGUGUUGUCCUGGAUGAUCUCAAACUCCUAGGCUCAAGAAAUCCUUCCAACUUGGCCUCCCAGUGUUCUGGUAAUGCAAGCAUGAACCUGGUCCCUGUAUUGUGUUUUUAUUUGUUUGUUUGUUUGUUUUGAGACAGGGUCUCCGUCUGUUGACCAGGAUGGAGUGCAGUGGUGUGAUCAUGGCUCACUGCAACCUAAAUCUGGGCUCAAGCAACCCUCCAGCUUUGGGCUUACAAGUAGCUGGGACUACGGGAAACCACCAGAAUCAUGGUAUUCUGAAGACUAGAGAUGCGAGUCUUCCUCAUUUGGCAUCCCACUGGGCCCACUGUGUUAUUCACUGCAAAUGCCCCUCCCUCUAGAUCCAGGAGCUAUUGCAGAAGAGAUGCACUUUUACUAUGUUUCCCUGUCUGGUCUGGUCUCAAACUCUUGGGCUCAAAAGAUCCUCCUGCCUUGGCCUCCCAAAGUUCUGGAAUUACAGGCCUGGGCCACCACACCUGGCCUGGUCCAUGUUUCAGUGAACCAACCAACCAACCCACCCACCCACCAACCAACCAACCAGUUAGAGGCCUCUCUACCUCUCCA
rnacentral:lncRNA from 13 species